rnacentral:rRNA from 1 species
GACGAACGCUGGCGGCGUGCCUAAUACAUGCAAGUCGAACGCACAGUUUAUACCGUAGCUUGCUACACCAUAGACUGUGAGUUGCGAACGGGUGAGUAACGCGUAGGUAACCUGCCUGGUAGCGGGGGAUAACUAUUGGAAACGAUAGCUAAUACCGCAUAAUAUUAAUUAUUGCAUGAUAAUUAAUUGAAAGGUGCAAUUGCACCACUACCAGAUGGACCUGCGUUGUAUUAGCUAGUAGGUGAGGUAACGGCUCACCUAGGCGACGAUACAUAGCCGACCUGGGAGGGUGGUCGGCCACACUGGGACUGAGACACGGCCCAGACGCCUACGGGAGGCAGCAGUAGGGAAUCGUCGGCAAUGGACGAAAGUCUGACCGAGCAACGCCGCGUGAGUGAAGAAGGUUUUCGGAUCGUAAAGCUCUGUUGUAAGAGAAGAACGGGUGUGAGAGUGGAAAGUUCACACUGUGACGGUAUCUUACCAGAAAGGGACGGCUAACUACGUG